CAGUCGCCACGGUAAUACAGAGGAUGCAAGCGUUAUCCGGAAUGAUUGGGCGUAAAGGGUACGUAGGCGGCUUUGUAAGUUAGAGGUGAAAGCCUGGUGCUCAACACCAGAACUGCCUUUAAGACUGCACCGCUUGAACGUCGGAGAGGUGAGUGGAAUUCCGAGUGUAGAGGUGAAAUUCGUAGAUAUUCGGAAGAACACCGGUGGCGAAGGCGGCGACCUGGUCCUUUACUGACGCUGAGGCGCGAAAGCGUGGGGAGCAAACAGGAUUAGAUACCCGAGUAGUCCCUGUCUCUUAUAC
rnacentral:rRNA from 1 species